CUAGUAACGGCGAGUGAAGCGGUAACAGCUCAAAUUUGAAAUCUGACCUUCACGGGUCCGAGUUGUAAUUUGUAGAGGAUGUUUCGGAUAAGGCUUUGGUUUAAGUUUCUUGGAACAGAACGUCAUAGAGGGUGAGAGUCCCGUCUAGAACCGAUAGCCGCGUUCAUGUGAAACUCCUUCGACGAGUCGAGUUGUUUGGGAAUGCAGCUCAAAAUGGGUGGUAAAUUUCAUCUAAAGCUAAAUAUUGGCCAGAGACCGAUAGCGCACAAGUAGAGUGAUCGAAAGAUGAAAAGCACUUUGAAAAGAGAGUUAAACAGUAUGUGAAAUUGUUGAAAGGGAAGCGCUUGCAACCAGACUUGUGUUUAACGGUUCCCCUGUGUCUUUUGACCAGGCUAUUCCGUUAUAUCCAGGCCAGCAUCGGUUCGGGUGGUUGGUUAAAGGCCUUGGGAAUGUAUCUA
rnacentral:rRNA from 1 species